UACGUAGGGUGCGAGCGUUGUCCGGAAUUAUUGGGCGUAAAGGGCUCGUAGGCGGUUUGUCACGUCGGGAGUGAAAAACUCGGGGGCUUAACCCCGAGCCUGCUUCCAUGACGGGCAGACUAGAGGUAUGCAGGGGAGAACGGCAAUCCCUGGUGUAGCGGUGAAAUGCGCAGAUAUCAGGAGGAACACCGGUGGCGAAGGCGGGUCUCUGGGCAGUAACUGACGCUGAGGAGCGAAAGCGUGGGGAGCGAACAGG
rnacentral:rRNA from 1 species